rnacentral:tRNA from 1 species
GCCGGGGUGGCGGAACUGGUCAGACGCGCCCGACUUAAAAUCGGGUGACUUCGGUCAUGCGGGUUCGAGUCCCGCCCCCGGCA